UAUUCUGCAGUGGUCCACCAAGCUGUCUACUCCCGACUCCUGUGCAUCCACUAGACUAUGUCUUUGCAUCUUCUAAGGUUGUCUGCAGUCCUGCCAACGGUUCUUGGUAGCAUUAGAAAACACAGUGGCCUGAGAAACAGUGAGGAGCAGUAAGUGUCGGGUAAGUGGUGGUUGGAGUGAGAAGCUGUGUGUGAGAAACUGCAGGCACGGCCCACGCCCAUGCAGCACCCGAGAGGAAGCAGGGAAGUGGGCUGUGGGCUUGGACCAUUGUUGGAAUGAGAGAGAAGGACCCUUUCUCAGGAGGAAUUCUGAUGUGCAGUGUGAUCAGGAUGUGAGCUGAGCCCCCAGAGUAGAACUGGCUUUGAGAGGGUCUCGCUAUAAAGACAAAAAAGCUCCUGCCCUGCAGGGUUGUACACACCAUCUGGGAAGCUUGGGGAAGAGUUUCUGCUUCUAGCCCAGGCCGGGCUGGACUCCCAGGGGGUCAGGCUUGGACUCAUCUCGAAUGCCAUUAGGUGCCCAGGUCAUAAUGGAGGACUGAGGCACAGGAGUGAAGUCUGGGCUGUGGAGACAUCUGCAGACAUUCCAGGCCCAGCCCUCUCUUCCCCCUGGAAUGGGCUUGCCUCAGACAUCCUCUUUAGCUCUCAUCCCUCAGUGAGGUCCUUAUUGACAAUUCAUUUAAUGUUCAACCCACCUCCGCCCUCCACGUCCGCCCUCUCCACCCGUUUGACUUCCCCCAUGCCUCUUCUCCCUGUGAUCUUUAACCUACUGCGUAACUUAUUUAUGUACCAAGCCUGUCAUUGAUGGUCUGUCUCUCCAUCCAGAAUGUAGGUCCUCAAAAGUGUUUAGUGGAAAAAUGAGGAAAUGAGAGCCCUAAGUCUGGCUCUUGGGGACAGAGACAGUUCUUCUCCUACCUCUUCUAAGGAAGAAAAAAAAAAUAAGUGUGAUUGUUGGAAACACAGUGACUCUGCCAAAACACCUAGAAUCAGCUCCAUGGGCGGGAAGGAUUUCCGUCAAAUUUUGGUGUUCUGAGAACUGAUUUGCCAACAGAUGUGAUGAUGAAGGCUACCCUGCCAGGUGGAGGUCACGAGUGUCUCUACCACUAUCUUGUGCCCAGUUUAUCUGUAGAGUUGACUCCCCUACUCUCCUCACAGAAAAACUGAGGCUCAGGGGAAGUUGCAUGGCUUGCCCAUCAGGGAUCGGUAGCUUCCAGAAAGCUUUAUAAUCCCCACUGACUGGCCCAGCUCUGUGCCUCAGCUAGAAUGUAGCAGAACCCUGCCUCAUCGGGAAGCCCAAGGAGUGAGCAGAGCCCUGCUAUUCCAGUAUUUCCUCCUGAGGCUACAGUUCCAGCACUCCAGGAGGAAGGAUGAUGUCUGGAGAGGCACAAAGGCGUUUUCUGUUCUGGGUAAUUUUAUGUUCAGGUAACAAGUCACUGUCAACCCCAGUUGCCCGCCAUGCUGAAGACCUCUGGGCCUCGGUCCUACUUUCUAUCUGCACUUGGACCUUCGUGGUCAGUACUCAAUUCUACAGGCACAGGAAACACAUCCACACCUCUCACCCUCUGCCUCCCGACUGCGAAGUCUGCACUUAACGAAUAUCUCUCUUAUCCAUGCAGGAGAGAUGGGGGAGUUCCCACGAAUCCCUGCCCAAUGUCAUCCAGAGUGUUAGAGGACACUCAACCCUGGUGAUUCAGCAGCUCACUAUGUAGACCAGGCUGGCUUUGAAUUCACAGAGAUCCACCUGCCUCUGCCUCCCAGAGUGCUGGGAUUUAAGGCAUGCACCACACCUGGCAUGCUUUGUUUUUAAGUCAUACCUUCAGUUUAACAUGGCUGGAGGCCUGCGUUCCACCCAACAGGUGCUCCUGUGGUGUGCUGGAACUUCUCCCAGCCCCCUCCCCCUGUAGAGGUCAAUCAAAUGCCCUUCAGUUUAUUUGAGUGUGUGUGGUGUGUGUGUUUAUGGUCACCAUGCAAGUGGAUCUGGUUGGAAAGAUUGCUUGCUUGGCUUCCUCGAGGUGUCCUUCCUCCAAGUUGUAAAACUAUUCACACAUAAUCUACUUAAGCACACAUUCAAGGCUGAGAUUGGUGGUAGCCUAAGGAAGAGAAAUUGCUUGAUGUGUUUAUUGUCACUGUCUGCAAAGGAUCGGUGACUCCUGGUCAUGGGACACAGAGCACUGACUGCGGAUCUCUAUGACUGGAAUUCCACAAGGCACAGAGUUUUGAUCUGUGUGGAGUUUACCCAGGGACAGCCACAGAUGCUAACUCAAGUGCUUUUUGUCUGGAAUUCUCUUAACCUCAGGCCAGCACCUGUCAUCUUUAUGGCUUUUGCAUGGGCCCAGAUGGGGGUAGGGGAGGGAGUGUCUUCUACAACAGUUAUUUUUCUCUCUGAAGCUGCAUACAAAAGUGUCCUAUCAAGAGGGAAUUCUGGGUAGUGUUGCUUCUAGGGGAGACUAUUAAGAGGAUUUUUUACCUUGAUCUUUCCUGCAGAGAUAUCCAUCUUCCUAGGUCAAAGGGCAGCUAAACAGAAACAACGAAGCCUCAGGUAGCCUUGUGACAGUUUCCACUCGGGACAUUAACCUCAUCAGCAGAUCACCCAAGAGGCAGCCGACUGAAGAGGCACGGAAUUCUUACAACAUGGAAAGCGUGUUUAUUAUUCUUUUACUUGACAAGGAACCAGAGGCUACAGAUGCUGAGAGACUCAGUUGAGGUGAGGACCCCAGCCCAGGCUGCAAGGGGUGUCUACUACCUCGAAGAAGAUUGUGUGUGUAUGUGUGGAUCAGAACUCAACUGAACUUGAAAUGCCAGGCCUGCUGUUUCACACGCUCUGGACAUCAUGAAGACAGUUUUCCCUCCUAGCCUCGGCUCCUACUGUAGCAGUGAGAUGAACCUGCAUCUAAGGGGGCUUGCUCAGUGUCUCUCUACUGGCUGUUCUGGAACUUACUAUAUAGAUGAGACUAGCUUUGAACUCACAGAGAUCCAUCUGUUUCUGCCCCCUGAGUGCUGGGAUCAAAGUGUAAGAUCAGGGAAUGAGCAAUGUGGUCGACUGCCAGUGACUAAGUCAGCGGGGCAGACUAUCCAGCCAAGCAGUUACCAAGUUGUCUGAAGGUUAAUGCCAACAACGAGAUCAAUACAUUAGCAAAGGCAACCACACUUCCUGCCAGAGGAAAGCAAGUGUUUCUAGAAAGUGGCCCAGAUCUGGACUCAGAAGAUGCACUGUGAGGACAUCCAAACCGCUCGGUCUCAGUCCUGGAUGAGAGGAGGUGCCAGCUGAGACCAGGGUCUGCUCAGGCGCAUUUGCUCACCACCUAUGGGAUGCCAAGUGCCUCCAUGGACUCUCAGAGAAGACUGGGUGUGUUCAGGACGCUAUGGCCAUGAUACAUAUUCUAAGUGUACAUUGAGGGCAACGAGGAGAAUCUGCUGAAGGCCUUGCAGGCCUCACCUGGGUGUCCUGCCCGAUAGAAUAGACUGAGGACAAUGAGACACAGGCUAGAGGCUUGUUCUUGGACAGACCCUCUGCCCUGAGCUCCACAUAAACACUUAGUGGGCUCUCAUUCCAGUCAGCAUGAGGCCUGCCUCAUCCUGAACUCAGCAAUCUCACUGUGGGGCCUUUUACCUUAUGAUCUCCCAUUGCCAUCCAAAGAGCUUGUGCUUGAUCUCCAGCCACCGGUUAAUACUCACAGGUCUUACUCAUGUUUCCGCAUCCUCUGCAUCCUUCAUUCUGUACCACACUGCCUCAGAGGAGUGAUCCAUCACCUCUCUGAUUUCCAGGAGAGCAAUGAGAGGACACAAAGGGAAGUUGCCAAGUCACCUAAAAUAACACCAGCUGAACCUUCCAGUGCCUCUGUCCUCUAGAAUUCCUAUAUGUCCCCUCCUUGGUAAGUGGCACACAUAGACGAGAUUGAACACUCACUGUCCCUAAGGCCUCUGAGCACUCUGUGGACUUGAACUCUCUAGAACCGAAGACUACUUUCUCCUAGGAGGCUUGCUCAGUUCAGUCUGAGGUGGCCUUGAGUCAGGACUUUGCUUUGCUAUCUCAGGGCUAUCUGUGAUCCCGUUACGUUAUAACAGGAGGUGUGCUUCAUUUGGUGUCCAUGUUGGUUGGAUUCCUGUUACUACUUUUAUGUGAUGGGGCCUCUCAUCCCAACCUUAUGCCCAUGGUGCACACCAAUGCAGACAGUCACAAUGAAGCUUGGUGACCUUGGGGCUAACUUUUCUACUUUAUAGGUGAGAAAAGUCAGACUUUAAGGGCUUAAAAGAGCUUCUAGAAGCCACAGAGAUGGUCAACCAGUCACACCUAUGAACCUCUCAUCUCGAAAUGUAAUGUUUUUCCCAUGUAAAUGCAGCCUUGUCAGCCAAACUGUCCCCAAGGUGGACUAUGUUGCUGAGAGCUACGUGUGGUUUCCAGGGACAUGGGGGAGGCAGGCUGUAGGUCAGCUGCUCAGUGGCCUACCGUUGCUUCUGAUAUCAGGUUGUUCUAAAACCCAGGGAACCCUUGAUCAUCUAAGGGACCUGAGUCAUGUCCCCACCCCUACACACACACACACACACACACACACACACACACACUUCAAACCAUAAGCUGGAGUUCUAACCACAGAGUGUGACGGUUUGGAGGUACCAGACCUAGAGCCUUAAAGAGAUUCCGUCAAAGUGAGAUCAUGGGGGUGGCCCUCAUGAAGGCUGACUCAGUCCUAAUAUGAAGAGAUGAGGAUUUAAGCUCACAGGAAGAUGGAAGCCCAUGAGGACAAGGGGGAAAGCCAGGGAGAGAGGAUCCAAGAGGAAGCUUGCUUUUGGGCUUCUGGUGCAUAACUCUCUGAUAUAGGUCGUUUUUUAAUGGAGGUCAAAGCAGACAAAAGGAGAUGAGAUAAUUUCAUCAUGGGGAUUCCACUGAUGUGAUGCCAAACACUGGUAAGCACAGAUUCCACUGUUGGCCACUGUGAUCUUGUCCCCGUAGCUCACUGCAAGCUGAACAGAUGACAUUAGAUCUUGGAGUUGACUUUUGUCCACUUGGGAGAUACACCCUGGUCCCUUCAGUCCUCAGGAUCACUCUCCUCUCAAAUGCCUUCUGAGGUGGUGGUGGUGGCUUCUCCAUCCAUGGCCCUGUUUUUCUGGCAGGUUCUGUCUGAUGAGCAGGCCAGCUCAGCAGGAGGGAAGGUGUAGUAAGUUAUAAAGCUGUGCUGGAAGAUGAGGAGAGAGGCUGGCCAGAUGGAAUGGGAGUGGGUGUCGCCUCCAUUCUGUCACAAGAUGGCAGGAGCAUGACAGUCUUCUAUGCCAGAAGGAUGUGAGACUAGCCAAGAACAAGACCCCUGUCCCAGGUGGAGCUGGGGCUAGACCCCCACCUUCUGAUAUUUGUCAGAUCGGUCUCAUUCAGGAAGCAUACAAGACAUACACAUCUUCAGAUUCUGAUGUUUCUAACACGAGGCAUAGCCUUCAUGGCAAUGGAAACUGUGAGUUUGCUCUUUCUUCUCUGUCUGAGGUAUGAUUCAGCCAAUGAAUGGCUGUCACCAUCUAUCAUGUGAUAGCCACUGUGAGGGUCAGGGGGAAGGAAGCUCACACUUACCUCAGCCAUCUGAUAAUAUCCUUGUCACUUACAUGGCUUACCCCUGGCUUUCUUUUUGGUCAUCCUGUGAGAUAAGCAAGCCAGAAGUAGGGCUAGGGCAGGGCUCUCUUCCCAUGGAAAUGCAUCCUUGUCAGGCUUGGCAUUUGCUUCCAGAGCUGAGUGCCUCAGCCAGCAUCACAGCCGCUUCCUUACAGCUCCUGUCAGUGAAGGGCUGUUCUGGGUCUUUCUCUGGGAGAGUCACAGUUCUGCAUAGGCCUUGUGCUGUCUCUUGAUAAGCUCUUGGGCAUCAUUUUAGCAUCAAUUGAACAUGCAGAGUCGCUCUUACAGGGUGGGAGAUGGACUUGGUGACAUUUUUUUGGAAAGGAAACAGAUGAGGUGACAAAACUUCAGAAUGGCUCCAAGUGACAUGGGUUCAAUAAUUAGCAGCACAUUAUGUCCUUCAGUGAUUUAAUACCUACUGUAUAUGUCGUGUUCAUGGGGCUUAGGGACUGGUGUGCCCCAAGGUCACAUAGCCAGAAAGGAGCUGAGCUGGGGGCCACAAUCAUGUCUGUCCUGGAACUAGGGUGAGUCCUUAUAUGUGGCCACACUGUUUCUGUUAUAGAGACAUUUACUUAGUUUUAUGGCCUAUAGGUCCUGGGCUAUGUGAUAGAGACUUCAAGAAACUCCCACAGUCUGGCAUCGACUGUACCCCAGAACCAUGGAUGUAUGGAACUGGUGGAAAGUCAAGGAAGGAAAUAUGUCUUAGAAAAAUUGAAGUAUAUGUUUAUUUAAACAAACCAAACCAAACCAAUCCUGCAAUGUUCCCUACCGUAAAGCUCAAAAUACAAAAGGUAAGAGGUCACAAGGAGAACAGUUACCUCUAACUUUUCCUGCAGAAGUCAGCUCCGGGUACUUGCCAAUGUAAGUUCUGUUCUGUUUCCCCUACACAUCAGUUUUCUUGAAAAGUUGUAAUUAUCCAUUGAUUGUAGGUUCAGCAGACAAAACCUUGGUUGUUCUCAUUUUCCAUUUUCUUCCUGAUAUCCGUACAGUUCCCAUGCAGCUGCGCUCAAGCAGGGACCAGUAGAAGAAAACAAAACACCCAGCGUGGUGUUCUCCUGUCUUCAUUUAGAGUUUAAUGCACAGCUCCCCGUUCCCACCCUCUGUGUCUAGCAUCUUUUAAGUGAACACAUAGCUUAAUACUCUUGUGUGCUGCAUUGUCUCCUGUGGGUGGCGAUUUAUGUGUCUCCCAGGAUUUCAGAAUGUAGCCUGUGCUCAAUAAAUAACAACACAAUGGA